rnacentral:rRNA from 1 species
UACGUAGGUGGCAAGCGUUGUCCGGAAUUACUAGGUGUAAAGGGAGCGUAGGCGGGAAUGCAAGUUGAAUGUUAAAUCCAUCGGCUUAACCGAUGAUCGCGUUCAAAACUGCAUUUCUUGAGUGAAGUAGAGGCAGGCGGAAUUCCUAGUGUAGCGGUGAAAUGCGUAGAUAUUAGGAGGAACACCAGUGGCGAAGGCGGCCUGCUGGGCUUUUACUGACGCUGAGGCUCGAAAGUGUGGGGAGCAAACAGGAUUAGAUACCCUGGUAGUCCACACUGUAAACGAUGAUUACUAGGUGUGGGGGGACUGACCCCUUCCGUGCCGGAGUUAACACAAUAAGUAAUCCACCUGGGGAGUACGGCCGCAAGGUUGAA